rnacentral:piRNA from 1 species
UACAACUUGAAGAGUAUUGUCGGGU